rnacentral:rRNA from 1 species
CGAGCACGCGCGUGUGGCAUAUCAAUAAGCGGAGGAAAAGAAACUAACAAGGAUUCCCUUAGUAACGGCGAGUGAAGCGGGAAGAGCUCAAAUUUGAAAUCUUCAAGGUUCUACCUUGACGAAUUGUAGUUUAUAGAAGUGUUUUCUGUUAGUGGAGUGGCAAAAGUUCUUUGGAAUAGGACAUCAUAGAGGGUGAGAAUCCCGUGUUUGGUCAUUCCUCCUAGCGUUGUGAUACACUUUCAACGAGUCGGAUUGUUUGGGAAUGCAGUCCAAAAUGGGUGGUAAAUUUCAUCUAAAGCUAAAUAUUGGCGAGAGACCGAUAGCGAACAAGUACCGUGAGGGAAAGAUGAAAAGAACUUUGAAAAGAGAGUUAAACAGUACGUGAAAUUGUCAAAAGGGAAGCGUUUGACGCCAGUGUUGUUUUUCCGAAAAUCAAUUACGAAUGUUUUGUUUUUGAGGAGUUAUGACUUCAUCGGCUUGCUCCUUUCUUUACGAAACUUUCUUAAUGCACUUUUCGGUUAACAAGUCAACAUCAAUUUCUUUUGUUGUAAAAGGGUAUGAGGAAGGUGGCUUUACUUUCGGAGUAAAGUGUUUAUAGCCUUGUGACUCUACAAUCGGAGAGAUUGAGGUCUGCAGCGUAGAUCCUUCGGGGUUAGAUACGUUUGUGCUAAGUUAUAGCUUUUCAUAGACAACUUGUUGACUAUGUUUAGUCUUGUAGAUUACUCGCAGAUGCUAUUUUACCUACGCUUAGGAUGUUGAACUCUAUCACACACAG